rnacentral:tRNA from 1 species
GGCGACAUAGCCAAGUGGUAAGGCAGAGCUCUGCAAAAGCUCCAUCGUCGGUUCGACUCCGACUGUCGCCUCCA